UGCGGCGGGAGGACGAGACUGGGUCCUUCGUCUGGUGACCCAGGGUGGUCAGCUGCAAUGACCUUGUGUCUGUAGCUGCAGAAGGUCCGCGCUGCGCAGCGGCGGGAAAAAACCUGGGAGCCUUCUCUGCUGCAAGGAUGCGGAACGUUUUUUGGCCAUAAAGCGAAAGAAGAAAUCGGAAGUGACGUCGCGGUCCAAACAAGCCGGAGCCCUGAGGCCCUUGGUCAAUCUGUGGCCGCAGAUGGAAAGGCCCGACUCGCUGUCGGCUGUCGAAGGUAGUCGCGAGGCCCUGCUCUCCCACCCGGUCGGCGCCCGGCCCCUGUCCCCGGAACCCGCCCGCCUCGGAUUUUUUAUUAUCUAAAUCCCAAAAAUACACUGGAUACCUCUUUUACAAAACCAAGAGGAAAUCAUGAAGAAAUGUUUUAAUUAUUGAAACUACACUUGAAGUCAUGGCUACAUCAGCCAAUCUGGAUAUUGGAGCCCAGCUGAUUGUGGAGGAGUGUCCCAGCAGUUACAGUCUAGCUGGCGUGCCAGACAUUAAAGUAGAGCACCAGCUGAGCUCCAAUGCAGAAGAAGGAUCAGCUCAAGGCGUUACCAUGGGAAUGAAAUUCAUAUUGCCUAACCGAUUUGAUAUGAAUGUGUGUUCUCGAUUUGUGAAGUCCUUGAAUGAAGAGGAUAGUAAAAAUAUUCAAGAUCAAGUUAACUCUGACCUGGAGGUGGCAUCUGUCUUAUUUAAAGCUGAAUGCAGCAUCCAUACAUCUGCUUCUCCUGGAAUUCAAGUAAGGCAUGUCUAUACUCCCUCUACAACAAAGCACUUCUCACCCAUAAAGCAGUCAACUACUUUAACUAACAAACACAGAGGGAAUGAGGUCUCUACCACACCUCUGUUAGCAAAUUCUUUAUCUGUUCACCAGUUGGCUGCACAGGGUGAGAUGCUCUACCUGGCUAGUCGUAUUGAACAAGAAAAUGUUAUCAAUCACACAGAUGAAGAAGGAUUUACGCCUCUAAUGUGGGCUGCAGCACAUGGGCAAAUAGCUGUGGUAGAGUUUCUACUUCAGAAAGGUGCUGAUCCCCAGCUUUUAGGAAAAGGUCGAGAAAGUGCACUGUCAUUGGCCUGUAGUAAAGGUUACACAGAUAUUGUCAAAAUGCUGCUUGAUUGUGGAGUUGAUGUAAAUGAAUAUGAUUGGAAUGGAGGGACACCUUUGCUUUAUGCUGUCCAUGGAAAUCAUGUGAGAUGUGUGAAAAUGCUGUUAGAAAAUGGAGCUGACCCAACGAUUGAAACUGACUCUGGAUAUAAUUCUAUGGAUUUAGCUGUAGCUUUGGGCUACAGAAGUGUUUACACUUUCCAUGUUUCAAGGACCCUCUGUGAUCCACAGUCUGGAAGUAGAUGACCCUCCUGUAAUGUCAGAAGGUCAACAGUAGCCUAGCACUAGAGGUCACAGUGCCUACUUUAUUCACCUCACUUCAUCUCAUCUCAUAGGCAUAUUAUCUCACAUCACCACAGAAAGCAGGGUUUCCUUUGGGACGGAGGCAUUGACUGAAGCACAGGCCCUGCAGGACUCAUGCCAGCUCACAGGGUUCAUCCACAAAGCCAGGUGACAGAAGUCUCUUCUUUUUCUGCUGCAGAGGAAAUGCCUUCAGAUCUGAAUCAUAAAAAAGAGCAAUGCUGGCCUCCCACCAGGCAGUCUCUCUGGAUUUUCUGCAUGGCACUCCUUGUGCUUGGAGUCACGGCUGCUGUGAUGGGUCUUGGGAUCACCUUUGGGAUGCCUAUAAAACCUGCAAGUAUGCCUCUCCUCUAGGAGAAAGAUCUAAUGAUUCAUUCAACAAACAGGAGUAUAUUUAUCCCUCAUCUAUUUCCAAAAUGGAUUUGCCACAUCAACAAUGCAAAACAGCUCCACAGCAGUUUGGCUUCUUGUGUGAGGACCUCACUACUUGCUUGCCACCCUCCCUGCUUUGUGAUGGCAAGUUGGACUGCAGUCAUGGUGAAGAUGAAUCUGCUACUUACUGUGGCCAACUGCCCAGCAGUCUCCCACAAAACUUGAUAUUCAAGUGUCCCAACCAGAAGACUUGGACAUAUGUGGACAAGGUGUGUGACACAAGAAAUGACUGUGGCGAUUGUUCAGAUGAAUCAGUUUUACAGUGCCCAGAGUGUUCAGGCUGGCGCUGUGAUACUGUCUCCUUUGCUGACUGUGCCUGCAUUCCCAGAACUCGCUGCAAAAAUGGCAUUCAAGACUGUGCUGAUUGGAGUGAUGAAAACUUAUGUGAAUAGAAGACAUUCCUCAUCAUUGUUUUGGAAAUCUAAGAACUGUCACUAGUUAUCUUAAGACUCCUCUCCAAAAAAACUGACAUAUCUUAUUAGCGAGACAGUGGGCAGGGAGGGGUUGGCUACUAAAUCGUGAACCCAGUAUUAUGUAACGGAGAAAAAAAUGAUUAGCAGAAAUCAAAGCCAAACUUCAGUGACCUUCUAAACAAGCGCAUUUUUAAACUUGCUUCCAAGUUUUAGAAUUUCUGCCCUGUAUAGAGUGGGGAUGACACAUGUGUACUCUGGUUUGAUUACUUCAACAA